UCGAGAAUAGUCUACAAUGGGCGCAAGCCUGAUGGAGCGACGCCGCGUGGGGGAUGAAUGGCUUCGGCCCGUAAACCCCUGUCAUUUGCGAUCAACCGUUAUUAUUUAAAAGAUGAUGACCUGAUAGUAGCGAAAGAGGAAGGGACGGCUAACUCUGUGCCAGCAGCCGCGGUAAUACAGAGGUCCCAAGCGUUGUUCGGAUUCACUGGGCGUAAAGGGUGCGUAGGUGGCGAGGUAAGUCGGAUGUGAAAUCUCUAAGCUCAACUUGGAAAAUGCAUUGGAAACUACCUUGCUCGAGGUUUGGAGGGGGGACUGGAAUACUUGGUGUAGCAGUGAAAUGCGUAGAUAUCAAGUGGAACACCAGUGGCGAAAGCGAGUCCCUGGACAAAUCCUGACACUGAGGCACGAAAGCUAGGGGAGCAAACA
rnacentral:rRNA from 1 species